rnacentral:rRNA from 1 species
AACGAACGCUGGCGGCAGGCCUAACACAUGCAAGUCGAGCGAGGACUUCGGUCCUAGCGGCGGACGGGUGAGUAACGCGUGGGAACGUGCCCUUUGCUUCGGAAUAGCCCAGGGAAACUGGGAGUAAUACCGGAUGAGCCCUUUGGGGGAAAGAUUUAUCGGCGAAGGAUCGGCCCGCGUUGGAUUAGGUAGUUGGUGGGGUAAUGGCCUACCAAGCCGACGAUCCAUAGCUGGUUUGAGAGGAUGAUCAGCCACACUGGGACUGAGACACGGCCCAGACUCCUACGGGAGGCAGCAGUGGGGAAUCUUAGACAAUGGGGGAAACCCUGAUCUAGCCAUGCCGCGUGAGCGAUGAAGGCCUUAGGGUUGUAAAGCUCUUUCAGCUGGGAAGAUAAUGACGGUACCAGCAGAAGAAGCCCCGGCUAACUCCGUG